rnacentral:lncRNA from 1 species
GCAAAUAUUACUUUAAUAGCAUAUUACAAUGUUGACCAUCUUGUACAAUGUCUCAGAAAUUAUUAUUUGAACUGGCUUGUUCCAGUUCAGCAACACAGCUUCUUAUUUUUCCUUAAAACAUAUAAUACAAAUCUGAGCCAAAGUUAAAGAAUGAAGAGGACAACUGUAAAGGAAGAAAAUGUACAAAUAAAUAAAAUAGAGGUGUCAGGAAGAGUAAUAGAUCUAACUUGUCAUGAUAGGGAUUAACCAGAGUAUUAAAUAGUUACUAAAAGCCAAAGCCAAAAAAUAUUUAGUUACUUGGAGGCAAAGUCAAGUCAAUAAGGAUCUGAUCUCUCCAGAUAAGUGAAUAAUGAUCUCUUUUCUCAGAAAACCCUAGCUAAAUUGUACUUUCCUCUAAUCUCUAUAUGUACUUCUCUAUUUCUCCGAUUUAUCUGUGAUUCUACCACUUUCCACGAUAGUUUUCAAUAAGAGAAAAGCAGCAGUGAGGCGGAGAAGGAGUUUCAGGAAGGCAAAGGCGGAAGAUUAUCUGGGCUACGAUGAGGUUAUAGAUUUAAUUUUUCUUCAAAAAAAGGCGUAUUACAGGACACCCUGGCCUGCCUAGGAUUUUUUCCCUAGGAACCUGCCGACUAGCUCCAUAGCCAACACAGGUAGGUAAAUCGGACUAACGCCCGGGAGCUGGUGAGGUUCGAACCCGUGACCCUUUGGAUCAACGCAAGGCCUCGUUUCCACUGGGACAGCUCUCACACUCAGAUUUAAUUUUUCCACGUGCAAGACAAAAGUUGGAACAUCUUAACAUGUGCAUAUNGUGAGGUUCGAACCCGUGACCCUUUGGAUCAACGCAAGGCCUCGUUUCCACUGGGACAGCUCUCACACUCAGAUUUAAUUUUUCCACGUGCAAGACAAAAGUUGGAACAUCUUAACAUGUGCAUAUCACCACACAGUCCUUUUUACAGUUUGUGCAUUACUUCCAGAACUAGUGCUGCACCUAUGCUUGCAUGUGUAGGACAUUUUCUCAGCCAAACAGUCCAAUUAAGCACUCCAAGCGAUUCAGGAAAAUCAAAUUAAACU